UACGUAGGGUGCGAGCGUUAAUCGGAAUUACUGGGCGUAAAGCGUGCGCAGGCGGUUUUGUAAGCCAGAUGUGAAAUCCCCGGGCUUAACCUGGGAAUGGCAUUUGGGACUGCAAGGCUGGAGUGCGGCAGAGGAGACUGGAAUUCCUGGUGUAGCAGUGAAAUGCGUAGAUAUCAGGAGGAACACCGAUGGCGAAGGCAGGUCUCUGGGCUGACACUGACGCUCACGCACGAAAGCGUGGGGAGCAAACAGG
rnacentral:rRNA from 1 species